rnacentral:rRNA from 1 species
AUUGAACGCUGGCGGCAGGCUUAACACAUGCAAGUCGAGCGAGCGGCGGACGGGUGAGUAAUGUCUGGGAAACUGCCUGAUGGAGGGGGAUAACUACUGGAAACGGUAGCUAAUACCGCAUACCAUCAGAUGUGCCCAGAUGGGAUUAGCUAGUAGGUGGGGUAAUGGCUCACCUAGGCGACGACCCAUAGCUGGUCUGAGAGGAUGACAAGCCACACGGGAACUGUGACACGGUCCAGACCCCUAGGGUGGGAAGCAGUGGUGAAUAUUGCAAAAUGGGGGCAAGCCUGAUGCAGCCAUGCGGCGUGUGUGAAGAAGGCCUUCGGGUUGAAAAGCACUUUCAGCGAGGAGGCGUUACUCGCAGAAGAAGCACCGGCUAACUCCGGGCCAGCGGCCGCGGUAAUA